GAUGAACGCUAGCGGCAGGCCUAAUACAUGCAAGUCGAACGGUAAGGCCCUUUCGGGGGUACACGAGUGGCGGACGGGUGCGUAACGCGUAUGCAACAUGCCUUCCAGCGGGGGAUAUACCAGGGAAACUUGGCGCAAUACCCCAUAGAAUUACGGGACCGCAUGGUCUUGUGAUUAAAACUCCGGUGCUGGGAGAUUGGCAUGCGUGACAUUAGCUAGUUGGCGGGGUAACGGCCCACCAAGGCGACGAUGUCUAGCUGGUCUGAGAGGACGACCAGCCACACUGGAACUGAGACACGGUCCAGACUCCUACGGGAGGCAGCAGUGGGGAAUUUUGGACAAUGGGGGCGAACCCUGAUCCAGCCAUGCCGCGUGAGUGAAGAAGGCCU
rnacentral:rRNA from 1 species